AGAGGUUUAGUGUGCUUAGGAGGGGAUUAAGAGUGAUUGAUCCAUCCUAGUGGUGGUUUUCACUAGAAUAAUUGAUUUUGAUGAUUACAAUGUGGUUAAAAUAGAGUUUCUUUUCAAUGAUCAUCAAAUCAGAUCAUAAUUAGGUGAUUUUCCCUCAUUUGGCACGAUUAUAGCAUGAGUUUUAGGUGCGUGCCAAAGUUAGAGACGACUCGAGUAAGUUUCAGAGCCGGCUCCUAAGGGGGAGUCGACUCGCGCAUUUACGGGAGUCGACUCGCAAAGAUGGCAGCUGAGGAGGAGUCGACUCGCACAAUGUCGGGAGUCGACUCGAAGUCUACAGGCGCAUAAGGAGAGUCGACUCGCGCAUAUUCUGGAGUCGACUCGAGGUCGAGUCGACUCGCGACUCAGGGGAGUCGACUCGCAGUCGGAAUCCGACUUUUUAACCCUAGGUUUGUCGUUUCGCAAAUACUUUUCCUCAAGCCGCCACUGUUCACAAAGCCCUAGAGCCGACUCCUAGGUCAUCCCCGAUCGUCUCCAAGCCCUUUUCCCGUCGAUUUUUCGCCGGACAUUGAGUUUCCGUCCGUUCCUAAGUCAUUUCCGGUCCGUCCCGAGCUUCCUCUGUCGGUCCUUCACCGUCCUCUAGGUAUUUUUCUCCCAGUUUAGGUCAAGAUGCCUCGUAAGACCGUGGUUAGGAAGAGGUCCCGUCCCGAGGCCGGUCCCGAGCGGCGCUCCAAGGCGCGGCACGAUCCCGCGAGGCAACCACCUCCGGCUCGUUCCCCGCCUAGGGCGGUUCCCGCGAGGCCAUUGGCCGGGAAGGUCGUCUCCACCGGGAGGUAUGUCGAUUUCGAC
rnacentral:lncRNA from 1 species